AUUGAACGCUGGCGGAAUGCUUUACACAUGCAAGUCGAACGGCAGCACGGGUGCUUGCACCUGGUGGCGAGUGGCGAACGGGUGAGUAAUACAUCGGAACGUACCCAGUCGUGGGGGAUAACGUAGCGAAAGUUACGCUAAUACCGCAUACGUCCUGAGGGAGAAAGCGGGGGACCGUAAGGCCUCGCGCGAUUGGAGCGGCCGAUGGCGGAUUAGCUAGUUGGUGGGGUAAAGGCCUACCAAGGCGACGAUCCGUAGCGGGUCUGAGAGGACGGCCCGCAACACUGGACCUGAGACACGGUCCAGACUCCUACGGGAGGCAGCAGUGGGGAAUUUUGGACAAUGGGCGAAAGCCUGAUCCAGCCAUUCCGCGUGAGUGAAGAAGGCCUUCGGGUUGUAAAGCUCUUUCGGCAGGGAAGAAACGGCUUGGGAUAAUACCCCGGGCUAAUGACGGUACCUGAAGAAGAAGCACCGGCUAACUACGUGCCAGCCGCCGCAGUAA
rnacentral:rRNA from 1 species